GACGAACGCUGGCGGCGUGCUUAACACAUGCCAGUCGAACGAUGAUCUCCCGCUUGCGGGGGUGAUUAGUGGCGAACGGGUGAGUAAUACGUGAGUAACCUGCCCUUGACUCUGGGAUAAGCCUGGGAAACCGGGUCUAAUACUGGAUACUACUUCCUGCCGCAUGGUGGGGGGUGGAAAGGGUUUUACUGGUUUUGGAUGGGCUCACGGCCUAUCAGCUUGUUGGUGGAGUAAUGGCUCACCAAGGCGACGACGGGUAGCCGGCCUGAGAGGGUGACCGGCCACACUGGGACUGAGACACGGCCCAGACUCCUACGGGAGGCAGCAGUGGGGAAUAUUGCACAAUGGGCGGAAGCCUGAUGCAGCGACGCCGCGUGAGGGAUGACGGCCUUCGGGUUAUAAACCUCUUUCAGCAGGGAAGAAGCCACAAGUGACGGUACCUGCAGAAGAAGCGCCGGCUAACUACGUG
rnacentral:rRNA from 1 species